UAUUUAAUAAAGCUUAGUUGAAAGGUGAAAUGUUUUAUUUGAAGAUUUUUUCACUCUACUUUCUUUAAUAGGUACAACUGUGGUUUCACCUCGAGUCAGCAGCAGUUCACAGAGCUCCAGACCAGGUAGGAAAGACUAAAUACAGUCCUCAUAUGCUGGGAUUAGAGUCAACAAGUUCUAUUUUCAAAUUCUCUGUAUCAAAAUGCUUGAGGUGAUUGAUGAGUAAAAUUCAGAAAGAUGAACGUGUCAUGUGCUUUUUUUUUUUCUCCUGAAGGUACCUCUGUCACACCAGAGAGCUCAGCGUCUGAAAGUGAAACAGGUGAGGAGGAGAUAGGGUUCCCAUCCACAUUCAGUGUGCUUUACGGAAAGGGAACCCCAGUAGCAACAGUGAUGGAUAGGCGGGCCAGGACAUGAAGUGGUAGUCACUUAAUUUCCUUACAAAAUAGAGGCUUUCAGGAACGUUCUUCCAGUGGAUUAAAGCCAUAUAGCUACUUCCACAACUGAUUUAGGAGGUAAAGCCAUGUUGAUCCCUUUCUUUUUCCACUUUUAGUUACUACAGAAGAAUUCUCUGGGACAACUGCUAUAUCUAGAAUGUCCCACACUGGUAGGUUGAUAAGCAGGAAAUCUCCAUGUUUAACCACAUAAUAUAGUUAUUAGAGCUGCUUUGAUGAAAUACCAACCUCAUUCUUUUCUCAGUAUCCCAAAUUCUGAUCUCACCAUUCAUCACUUCCUCCCUCAGAGGCCACAACUUUAAUAGAAGGCCGCAGCGUUCCUCCAUCUGGAUCCAGCCCAGCCACCACGGGGGUAGCUCCUGGCACAACUGUUGCACCUGGCAGUUCCAACACAGAGGCCACAACUUCUGUAGGAGAAAGAGAAACAACAAAAGCUGAAAUAAUCACAGGUACUACUGAGGGCAUCUCUGGGAAAUCUGUGGAAGCUGGAAGUGCCCACACAGAGGCCACAACUUUCCCAGGAGGCAGUGGGACCACCCAAGCAGGACCACCUGGAGGUGAGCUUUUCAGGCAGUGGCCUGGGGCUCUCAUCAUCUCUCAAUUUUGGUGGCUACAGUAACAAAUAAUAUGAAAGCAUUUGAGGAGAAGUCGGCAUUCUCUGAGGCCAUAUUAUGUCAUAACAGUCUGAAAAGUUAUUCUGCUUAUAAAUUCCAUGACCUCAGAUGUCUCAGGCAGGCUGUCUCCAGUAUCCUGGCCUAUGGAGACAUUUUUGUCUGAUAUGAGGAUUGAGAGUAUAUUACGUGCAUUCCAACCCUCCAGGACUUCCAGUCUUCCUUAGCCAGUUUACAUUUCCACCCACAGCUUGACAUUUUCUUUUCUUUUUCUUUUUCUUUUACUUUAAGUUCCGGGAUAUGUGCAGGUUUGUUACAUAGGGAUACGUGUGCCAUGGUGGUUUGCUGCACCUAUUGACCCAUCCUUUAAUUUGCCUUGGUGUGUGAUGUCCCCCUCCCUGUGUCCAUGCGAUCUCAUUGCUCAACCCCCUCACUUAAGAGUGAAAACAAGCGGUGUUUGGUUUUCCGUUCCUGUGAUAGUUUGCUGAGGAUGAUGGCCUCCCGCUCCAUCCAUGUCCCUGCAAAGGACAUGAUCUCACUCCUUUUUAUUCAGCUUGACAUUUUCUAUCAUUUUUCUACUUUAA
ensembl:lincRNA